AUAUAUAUAUAUAUAUAUAUAUUUUAGAUGUUAUUUUAAGAUCGAUAGGACGGAUCAAAAUUAAUCAAUAUUUUUCAAACCAAUGCAAUAAAUAAUGCAUCUGCCAAAACAGAGUCACGGGUAGUGUUCCUUUCCCACAAAAAAACCAUUGUCUUCUGCCCAUCUUCUUUCCCAAAUCAGCACAAGAACCAAAACCUUUUUUUUCUCUUUUUUCUUUCUCCCCUUCUUCCUCAUACCAAAAUCGUAACCGUAGCACUCCCAUGGCUAGCUGGCCGCCUGCCACUACCCUACGAAAAUCUCACCAAAAUCAGACACUCCAGCUCGCGAAUCCUCCAACAGCAGGAAAAAUCAGUUCCGAAUGGGUGAAAAUGAAUUAAAACGGUUCAAUCCAUCAUUUAAGAGUUCUGAAAAGUUGAGAUAUGGGGAGAGAAGUCUUUGAUCCGAUUUUAAAAUUCAAGUUCAUUUUCCCACCUCUUUUUAUUUUUGAGGUUUCAAAUCCGGAUUUGGCUAUAUAUACGGGUAUUCCUUCACCCAUGGAGGGAGGAGAAGAAAGCAAGUGAAUUCGAGAAAAAGAGAGCUUAACAAAAUCGAAAAGGGGAGAGAAUAGAAGCAAAAGCAAAGUGGAUACGGAUUCGAAGCUCUGAGUUGAGUUCUUCGUGGGAAGUAGCUUGACGUUAAAAGCCCAAGUUUGCUGCGCCCAAAAAGAUCGCAAAAUUAUGGGUAUAUGAACGUGUGGCCCUGUGCGGGUUUCAACCGGUUUGAUUUUGUUGCUAUUUGUUCUCACUCAAUAGGCAUGAUGUGGUUUAAAUUUUGUAUUGAUUAAAUUGUUACUCGACGGAUGGAUAUGGAUUUUAAUUCUGAAUUUUUUUAUGUUGUGUUGGAUCAGUAAAUACGCGAUUAUGUUAUUUUGGAUUCGAAAUCAUAUUAGUGUUAGUGUUCUUUGUUUCGGGCUCGGACUGCAGUAAAAUUUAAUGUCGUGUUUCAAUUUUUUCUUUUUUUUUUUUUGGAUCUGUCCGGGGGUUGUUUACCGCCUUGUUUUGACCAAAGCAAGUCUUGGAAAGAAAAUUUACAUUGUCAUAUUCCUGCUCUUUGAAAGAAAAUUUUUUUAAAUUGGGAGUUGCUCUUAAUUACCCUUGGGUAAAAAUGAUAACUUUGGCUAGAUAGUUUGAAACAUGGGAGGACUGUUGGUUUGUAUGUGCAUGAUAGCUCCAGUUGGAUGCAAAAUUUGUUUGAGUUCAUAUUCAAUCUUAUUUACUUUGGACUGCACAACCAACAUGGUCACCGAUUGCAUUAUUUUCAUUACUCGUUUAUAUCACUUAAAUUAGUUACUAGUCCUUAUUUCCUUUUAUCUUUUUAUGUGAACGCGUGAGUUGGAGUUUCAACGGAACUCAUUUUGAUCCAACAUCGGGUUAAUUGCUACAAGGAUCUCAGAGCUUCGGGAUUGCAUAUACUUGAAAACUCGAGCCCGUUAGGAGUCUAGUAUCUCUUAGUCCCUUCUCUUUAUUUAAUAUCCAUGCUAUGUUGUCAUUUUUGUUAAGACUCGAAACGGUAAUUAGUUAUCAUUGGCUAUUGAAAUUUUGUUUUUUAUUGUGUUUAUAUUGA